rnacentral:rRNA from 1 species
UUUCCGUAGGUGAACCUGCGGAAGGAUCAUUAUUGAAUAACCUUGGUCGGGUUGUUGCUGGCCUCUCGGGGCAUGUGCACGCCUGUCUUGACUCGUUUUCAUCCACCUGUGCACCUAUUGUAGUUCUGUACUCACUGGGGGUCAUGAAAGCAAGCUAUCUGUUCGGGUUGUCACACUCUCGGAUUUCGAGGGUUGCCGUUCUGGCUUUCUUCUGUUAGCUUUGCGAAAUUGUGCUUUCUCGAGAACAGGUCUAUGUCUUUUAUCAUACACUCAUGUAAAGUAUGUAUGCUAGAAUGUCUUGUUAUUGGCCUUUGUGCCUUUAAUCAACCUUAUACAACUUUCAGCAACGGAUCUCUUGGCUCUCGCAUCGAUGAAGAACGCAGCGAAAUGCGAUAAGUAAUGUGAAUUGCAGAAUUCAGUGAAUCAUCGAAUCUUUGAACGCACCUUGCGCUCCUUGGUAUUCCGAGGAGCAUGCCUGUUUGAGUGUCAUUAAAUCUCUCAACCUACCUCUGGCUUUUGUUAGCUGGGCUGGAGCUUGGAUUGUGGGGGUUUUCUUUGCAGGGCUUCAUGUCAAAGGUCGGCUCCUCUUAAAUGCAUUAGGGGAACCGUUCUGUUGAUCCUGUUUCACUGGUGUGAUAAUUAUCUACGUCAGUGUGCAGUCUGCUCUCUGUCUUGUUUCUGCUUCCAACUGUCCGAUAUGACCCUCUUUUACUUGGGGGGGAACUCUUUGACCAUUUGACCUCAAAUCAGGUAGGGACUACCCGCUUGAAAACUUAAGCAUAUCAAUAAGCGGAGGAAAAGAAACUAACAAGGAUUCCCCUAGUAACUGCGAGAGAAGGCGGGGAAA